GAGUGGCGAACGGGUGAGUAACACGUGGGUAAUCUGCCCUGCACUCUGGGAUAAGCCUUGGAAACGGGGUCUAAUACCGGAUAUCACNNCAUUUAGCGCAUGNGGGGUNGUUGAAAGUUCUGGCGGUGCAGGAUGAACCCGCGGCCUAUCAGCUUGUUGGUGGGGUAAUGGCCUACCAAGGCGACGACGGGUAGCCGGCCUGAGAGGGUGACCGGCCACACUGGGACUGAGACACGGCCCAGACUCCUACGGGAGGCAGCAGUGGGGAAUAUUGCACAAUGGGCGCAAGCCUGAUGCAGCGACGCCGCGUGAGGGAUGACGGCCUUCGGGUUGUAAACCUCUUUCGCCAGGGACGAAGCGCAAGUGACGGUACCUGGAUAAGAAGCACCGGCUAACUACGUGCCAGCAGCCGCGGUAAUACGUAGGGUGCGAGCGUUGUCCGGAAUUAUUGGGCGUAAAGAGCUCGUAGGCGGUUUGUCGCGUCGGCCGUGAAAUCUCCACGCUUAACGUGGAGCGUGCGGUCGAUACGGGCAGACUUGAGUUCGGUAGGGGAGACUGGAAUUCCU
rnacentral:rRNA from 1 species